AUGGGGCAAGAAAUAAGUGUUCUCUCCCAGGUUCAGCUUCAGCAGUCUGGGUCUGAGCUGGUGAAGCCUGGGUCCCCAGUGAAGAUGUCCUGCAAGGCCCCUGGCUAUACUUUCACCAGAUACUUUAUGCACUGGGUGAAACAGAGGCCUGGGAAUGGCCUUGAGUGGAUUGGAUGGAUUUAUCCUGGAGAUGGUGGUACUAAGUACAAUGAGAAGUUCAAGGACAAGGCCACCUUGACUGUAGACACAUCCUCCAACACAGCCUACAUGCAGCUCAGCAGCCUGACAUCUGAGGACUCUGCGGUUUAUUACUGUAAAAGACACAAUGUGACAACCACAUCUUGA